CGUAAACAAAGAAACCAUAAAAAUGUUUUUGUAGUUUUCAGUUUCUCAAAUAAGAAGUUCUAUGCAGUAAAAAUGGUUUUUAAUGGCGUGCUUUUAUUCCUGAGAUACUUUUUUUAAUUGGCUUUUCACCCCUUGUUAUAAUGUUUUCAGUUUGUGAAAGCGAUCUAUUAAAACCCGUAUUUGAUACCGCCAUGUGCCAAACAGUGAAGCAGUUUUCACUCUGACCAGAGAAUCUUAUAACAAAUUAAUUGUGUGGUGGGAGGAGGAUAGCCUUGCAGUUUCAUUAAGCACUCCGGAUUAGAGGUGGCUCGCAGUCUCCCUGCGGAGAGGUCAGCAUGGCGCAUGUUGCUGUCCCACGAGAGACUGUGGCAAGAAAUCUAGCCAGGACCCACAAAGCACG